GGACGGGGCCCGCACAAGCGGUGGAGCAUGUUGGUUUAAUUCGAAGCAACGCGAACGUAACCUUACCAGGUCUUGACUAUCCCGAUGCUAUUUCUAGAGAUAGAAAGUUACUUCGGUACAUCGGUGACAGGUGGUGCAUGGUUGUCGUCAGCUCGUGUCGUGAGAUGUUGGGUUAAGUCCCGCAACGAGCGCAACCCCUACGUUUAGUUGCUAACGCGUGAAGGCGAGCACUCUAGACGAACUGCCGUUGACAAAACGGAGGAAGUGGGGAUGACGUCAAAUCAUCAUGCCCCUUAUGUUCUGGGCUACACACGUGCUACAAUGGCCGGUACAGACGGACGCAAAGCCGCGAGGUGGAGCAAAUCCUAAAAAGCCGGUCUCAGUUCGGAUUGCAGGCUGCAAUUCGCCUGCAUGAAGUCGGAAUCGCUAGUAAUCGCAGGUCAGCAUACUGCGGUGAAUACGUUCCCGGGCCUU
rnacentral:rRNA from 1 species